CAAAUCAGGUAGGACUACCCGCUGAACUUAAGCAUAUCAAUAANCGGAAG
rnacentral:rRNA from 1 species